CAUGUGAUUUAAUUCAUUGCAAAGAUAAGAACCUUAUCAGAGCUUGACAUACCGUGAAUCCUCUUGAAAGAGAGACACAGGUGGUGCAAGGCUCCUAUCAACUCAUGCUAUAAGGUGUUGGGUUAAGUCUUGCAAUGAAUGGGAUCCUCGUGUUUACUUGUCAUCAUUGAGUUUGGAAUCCUUGAGCAUAUUGUUGGUGAUAAGUCGGGGGAAAGUGAGGAUAACAUCAAAGCAAAAAAAAAAAUUGGUAAGUAAAAUCACUCAUG
rfam:Populus trichocarpa scaffold_2_contig_31, whole genome shotgun sequence.